rnacentral:rRNA from 1 species
CUACGGGAGCUGCAGUGGGGAAUAUUGGACAAUGGGGGAAACCCUGAACCAGCAAUGCCGCGUGUGUGAAGAAGGCCUGCGGGUUGUAAAGCACUUUCGGUUGGGAGGACUGCUUCUAGCACUAAUAUUGUUGGAAGUUGACGUUACCUUCAGAAGAAGCACCGGCUAACUCCGUGCCAGCAGCCGCGGUGAUACGGAGGGUGCAAGCGUUAAUCGGAAUUACUGGGCGUAAAGCGCGCGUAGGCGGCUAGAUCAGUCGGGUGUGAAAGCCCCGGGCUUAACCUGGGAACUGCAUCCGAUACUGUCUAGCUUGAGUACAGGAGAGGAGAGUGGAAUUCCACAUGUAGCGGUGAAAUGCGUAGAUAUGUGGAGGAACACCAAUGGCGAAGGCAGCUCUCUGGCCUGAUACUGACGCUGAGGUGCGAAAGCGUGGGGAGCAAACAGGAUUAGAUACCCGAGUAGUC